rnacentral:rRNA from 1 species
AUUGAACGCUGGCGGCAGGCCUAACACAUGCAAGUCGAGCGGAGCGGCGGACGGGUGAGUAAUGCCUAGGAAUCUGCCUGGUAGUGGGGGAUAACUACGGGAAACUGUAGCUAAUACCGCGUACCAUAGGAUGAGCCCAAGUGGGAUUAGGUAGUUGGUGAGGUAAAGGCUCACCAAGCCGACGAUCUCUAGCUGGUCUGAGAGGAUGACCCGCCACACUGGGAUGGAGACACGGCCCAGACUCCUACGGGAGGCAGCAGCGGGGAAUAUUGCGCAAUGGGGACAACCCCGACGCAGCCAUGCCGCGUGUGUGAAGAAGGUCUUCGGAUUGUAAAGCACUUUAAGUUGGGAGGCGUUACCAACAGAAUAAGCACCGGCUAACUUCGUGCCAGCAGCCGCGGUAAUUC